GAGCUAUGUAGUGUUUUGAACAACUAAUAAAAAAAUAAAUAUUUAUUUUUGGAAACCUCAAAUAUUUGGGAUAUAUUUGAAGCUACUAGAUAAUCCUGGUAGCAAUGGAAGUGGUGAGAAGCAGUAGGGUUUUACAUAUAUUUUAAAAACAGAAUAAUAAUUUCAGGUAAUUGUGAGAUGUGGGGUGAGAGAGAAGUAGAAAAGUCAAGGAUGACUCUUUUUUUAAAAUAUUUUUUCAGAGUCUUUUUUUUUCUAUUUAUUGAUUUUAAGGAAUGAAAACUAAGUGUCAGAUCAGUCAGGGCAGGCAAUGGCCAAAGGAGGCAGAUUUAAAAGGACCCCUGAACAGGCUUUAUUGAGAUAUCACUCCCUCCCUGGUGGAACUCGAUCAGACCCACAGAGGGGACAGGAGAAGGGUCUGAGGAGAAACCGCGCGGAAGCUCAACUGGACUGGACUUUUAUGGGGCUUACAGCAGGAAGGGAAGGGCUUGGGACAGGAAAAGGUGUUUCUAGGGUCCCUUGCCCCCUUGAAGUUGGUCAGGGGAGUUGGCUGAACCCCAGGAUUGGCCAGGGGGUCCUGCUGAUUGACAGGCGUUAGUCAGGAGAUCUGGCUGAUUGACAGGCAUUUCCGCUGGCAUCUGAUUGAUGUUCUUUUCUGGUGCGGGCUGCUUUGUUCUAAGUUGCCACUAAGUCACCACCAAGUUGCCACCACCGACCUAACACUAAAUCCAUUCCUUUUUUUUUUUUCUUUGCAGCAGUAUGGUUAAGUGCUGCAGUCUGGCUGGGCACAAUCAGGAGCCACUUGUCAAAAGAAACUAACUUUAGUUUUAGAACCACACACGCCAAACAAAACAGCCUCUCAGGAAAAACCCUCAGAGCCUCAACUGCCACCACCGGCUUUCCACAAGCCUCUCUCUCCCACACAAGCUUCUCCACACCUCCCACAGUCCUCCUGCUCUUGAGGCCGAUUGGCUGGGUCACGUGGGCGGAGCCAAAAAAGUCCCCCAAUGAGCAGCUCCGUGGUCUGAAAGGGCAGGGAAACAGCCCAAUGAGCAUCACCGCAGAGGAGCCAAUCAGCUAGAUGUUGCUGGGGCCGCUGUGAGCCAAUCAUCAGCCGGCAGCUGGAAGUUUGCUGGCAGCUGGAAGUUUGCUGGGGCCCCUUCGGCUGUGGCUCUCAACAGUUAAGGUCUUUGUAAGAAUCUUUCUAAUAUCAUCAUAUUACUCUGUCCAAAAUGCUGCACUAAUAU
rnacentral:lncRNA from 1 species